UACGUAGGCAGCAAGCGUUGUUCGGAGUUACUGGGCGUAAAGGGUGCGUAGGCGGCUUCUUAAGUCUGGUGUGAAAUCUCCCGGCUCAACUGGGAGGUGCGCUAUAGACUGCGGGCUCGAGUGUGGGAGAGGAAAGUGGAAUUCCUGGUGUAGCGGUGAAAUGCGUAGAUAUCAGGAGGAACACCGGUGGUGUAAACGGCUUCUGGACCAUAACUGACGCUGAGGCACGAAGCGUGGGUAGCAAACAGG
rnacentral:rRNA from 1 species